rnacentral:lncRNA from 1 species
AAGAUACAAUGGCGGACUGAUGGUGCUGCCUUUUCAAACGAACACCCUCUAUGGUAUCCACACGAACGUCUUCUAUCCUUCUAGAGUGCUAGCUCUUUCAAAGAUGGAUAGAUCAUGUGCUCCACAAUCUGCAAUCUUUUAGACUGAGUUUUCUCAAAACUUAACAUCAACUUACUCAAUCUGUAGAAGGAGUAUUUAUAUGUCUCAGUCUUUUAUUUUCACACAACUCCUUUUCCUAAAAGGAGUUGUAUUUUUCCCACAAUUCUUUUCCUAAAAGAAUUGUACAACUCUUUUCCUAAAAGAGUUGUGUUCAGAACCCACUAUCACAAUCUUACAGAUACUCA